GCAUGCGCAGCUACCAUGCAGUCGACGGUAGCACAAAGAGCUUGGUCUCGUUUGACGAGUGGGGGACGGGUGAGUAAUGUGUGGGAAACUGUGUGAGGGGGGGGGAUAUCUACUGUGAACGGGAGCUAAUACCGCAUAACGUCGCAAGACCAAAGAGGGGGACCUUCUGGCCUCUUGCCAUCUCAUGUGCCCAGAUGGGAUUAUCUAUUAGGUGGGGUAACGGCUCACCUAUGCGACAAUCCCUAUCUGGGCUGAGAGGAUGACCACCCACACUGUGACUGAGACACGGUCCCCACUCCUACGGGAGGGGGCAGUGGGGAAUAUUGUGCAAUGGGCGCAAGCCUGAUGCACCCAUGCCCCGUGUGUGAAAAAAGCCUUCUGGUUGUAAAGUACUUUCUCCGGGGAGGAAAGGGUUGUGGUUAAUAACCCCUCCAAUUGAGGUUACCCGCACAAAAAACACCGCCUAACUCCCUGCCAGCACCCGCGCUAAUACAGAGGGUGCGCGCGUUAAUCUCAAUUACUGUGCGUAAAGCGCACGCACGCGGUCUGUCAAGUCUCAUGUGAGAUCUCCGGGCUCUCCCUGUGAACUGUGUUCUAGACUGUGAGGCUAUAGUCUCGUGUAGAGGGGUAGAAUUCUCCGUGUAUCGGUGAAAUGCGUAGAGAUCUGUAGGAAUACCGCUGGCGAAGGCGGGCCCCUGUGCAAAAACUGAGACUCUCGUGCGAAAGCGUGGGGAGAAAACAGGAGUAUAUACCCUGUGAGUCCACGCCCCAUACAAUGUCUACUUGUGGGGUUGUGCCCUCGUGGCGUGGGUUCCCGAGCUAACACGUUAAACGACCGCCUGGGGGAGUACCGCCCGCACGGUUAUAACUCUCAUGUAGUUGUCGGGGGGCCCGCCGCAGCCGGUGGGAGCAUGUGGGGUUAUAACGAUGCGACAGCGCAGAAGACCUUACCUACUUCUUGUACAUCCUCGAGGAGCAUUUCCCGAAGAUGCUGUUUGGUGGCCCUCUGGGAACAUCCUGAGAACAGAGUGCUGCUAGGGUGUGUCGUCAGCUUCUCGGUGGUGAAAAGUUGGGUAUAUCCCCACAGAGAGCAACCUAUAUCCUUGUUGUCCACCGGUUUAGCCGGGAAUCUAGGAGAACUCGCUUGUAAACUUGGGAAAGUGUAAGGCUAGUCCUGUGCCCUCAGAUAGGUUCCACACGAGGUUA
rnacentral:rRNA from 1 species